GCAUUGGUGAUUCAGUGGUAGAAUUCUCGCCUGCCAUGCGGGAGCCCCGGUUUCGAUUCCUGGCCAAUGCA
rnacentral:tRNA from 1 species